rnacentral:rRNA from 1 species
UACGUAGGUGGCAAGCGUUGUCCGGAAUUAUUGGGCGUAAAGCGCGCGCAGGCGGUCCUUUAAGUCUGAUGUGAAAGCCCACGGCUCAACCGUGGAGGGUCAUUGGAAACUGGGGGACUUGAGUGCAGAAGAGGAAAGCGGAAUUCCACGUGUAGCGGUGAAAUACGUAGAGAUGUGGAGGAACACCAGUGGCGAAGGCGGCUUUCUGGUCUGUAACUGACGCUGAGGCGCGAAAGCGUGGGGAGCAAACAGG